GAAAUGCGAUAAGUAAUGUGAAUUGCAGAAUUCAGUGAAUCAUCGAAUCUUUGAACGCACAUUGCGCCCGCCAGUAUUCUGGCGGGCAUGCCUGUUCGAGCGUCAUUUCAACCAUCAAGCCCCCGGCUUGUGUUGGGGACCUGCGGCUGCCCGCAGGCCCUGAAAAACAGUGGCGGGCUCGCUGUCACACCGAGCGUAGUAGCAUACAUUCUCGCUCAGGGCGUGCUGCGGGUUCCGGCCGUUAAAAUCGACCUUCAUAACCCAAGGUUGACCUCGGAUCAGGUAGGAAGACCCGCUGAACUUAAGC
rnacentral:misc_RNA from 1 species